rnacentral:lncRNA from 1 species
AAUCUGAAUUUGGAAGAAGGUAAGUUCUUCCUUAGCCACAUAUGUACUUGGCCUCUAUAAAUAUACACUCAGGAUCAAUCUAAAACAACCCAUUAUGGAGUUGAUUUUUUUUCUUCAAGAAUGAUCACCCUGCGAAUCUAAACGAAGCCUGAAUCGUGAUUAACUUUUUGAUUCUUAUCUUGUUCUUUUUCUUCUCUUCUUUUCUUGCACUCCUUCCCUUAGUU